GGCACGCCUCCUUCAUCCAAUCAGAAGGCUGUCCGGACCAGGGAGCCCAUCCCAUACAGGUCCAAUCUGAGGGGUGCAACUGGCGAAAAAACUCAUCCAACUCAAUGGUGCAGCCAUUGGGCGGGCGGACCCUCUCCGGUCGGAGCAGUGAUCACUCCGGUCCAUUGUUCAUUUCAUCCCUAAGUACAAACUUUGCUAACAAAUGUGUUUUUCUAACAAGUAGAUCAGCAUGCUUUGGAAACCAUGCAUUCCUGCCUUUGCUUGGAGCCUGAGGGCAACGGUACAGCGGACAGGUGGAGCUGCUCAUUUGGGCAUUUGUUUUGCUUCUGCUUUCCUUUACGUAGAGAUCUUUGGUGGUAUCGACCUAUUUCUUUCCCCCCUUGUUUUACCACCUGGCUGCAGGUUGCCUCUUUCCCGUUUCACACACCUGCACAACUUUUUCCUGCUUCUUUUCUAACAAUUUGAUUUUAAGUCCUCAUCUGCAAGAUAAGCUUGCCAACCUAGUAUCUUUAUUAUUUAAAUAUAGAGAAUAUAAAUUGUAUUGCAUGUAGCUGCACAGAAGGAGAAAGAAAAACAACAAUCAAGAAUUUGAAUCUGUGUUCGUAGAACAUUUUUAGAAUUAGAUUAUUUUUUUUUAUUUUGCUGCUCAGAAUUUUACUGUAGAGUAAUGAUGGACUGUCUCCACUUUAUAACUCUUAAAUGCUUGUCAGAAGUGGACACGUUGUAAAGUCGAGGAGGCGAUGAUCACACCGUGACCCUACCAUUUUAUGGACUAUAAUUAAAUGCUACACAGGCUGCUCCACCCAAGUAUGGAUGUCUGUUUUCUUCCUAAAAAAAUCUGGCUUUGUUUCAAAGCUGUAUCCAAGCGCCCGGGACACGUUGCAGGCUAAGAAUGUCCAAUAGCGGACUCGCUUUGUACUUUCCAAAAGCUGGAACCAGUCCAGUUAGAAGAUGUGUCUUUAAUUUUUUAAGCAUGACAGCAAAGAAGAAUGCAUUUUUUUCACUCUAAAUAUGCCACCUCAUCACAUAGAGUUUAGACUGAGGACAAAGACAUACGAGAUCAUUCGUAUAGUGAAUUAAAACUGAAGUCUGCACUAUAGGGUAGCUAUUGUUAACUAUUUAGCUGUGAAAAAAGCAGAACAAGGACAUUGACCUGUAUAAUACAGCGAUAGGCGAUUUGUUAACAGUCAGGUAAAGUGUACAUUCAAGGAAUGCUGUACUACGGGAGCAAUCAGUGCUGAAAAGUGUUGUACCUGUGCCAGCAGAAUCUUUGGAAAAUUACAUUAUCACUCAAGACAGGAUAGUGUGUAAUUCACUGGGAAAAUUAUUGCAGGGUUCCACCUGCACAUUAAGACAAAUCUCAAAUGACAACUUUUUAAAUAAUUGCUCAUGUUUAAUAUAUUAAGUCUGAUUUUGAGUCUUAAUUUUAGGCAUAUCACCCAGUGUAAGUAAAUAGGAUGCUGGCUGUGGCCACAGUUUUGCUCUGGUGUUGACGGACAUUUAAUAUUAUGGGAGAUGAAUUUGUUGUUCAUUGACUGCAUAGAGCAUGUGUUGGAAAUGUACACAAUCUAUUGGAGAAUGGUGAAUGUGAAUCAUUUGUUUUUCUUGCUUGAUUUCAUAGAAUAACAAUUCUAAAUGAGGUUUAGUGCCAUUUUUGCCCAUAGAGCUGGCUUCCCAUUCUAUGAUAAUCCACCAUAUCUCCUCUCUGGAGCAGAAGUCCAUGGCUGUACAUAUUAUUUAUGAAAAAAACUGAUAACUAAUCACAUGUGAAGAGAAUGUUUAUUUAAUCUUUCCAAAAAAUGUUAUCCUAGCACCUGAACAACUACGCCAUUCUAGGGGUGUAAGAGUAACUUCAUUCAUUUUGACAUCAAUGUUUACAACAACA